rnacentral:rRNA from 1 species
AUUGAACGCUGGCGGAAUGCUUUACACAUGCAAGUCGAACGGCAGCACGGGGCAACCUGGUGGCGAGUGGCGAACGGGUGAGUAAUACAUCGGAACGUGCCCAAUCGUGGGGGAUAACGUAGCGAAAGUUACGCUAAUACCGCAUACGAUCUACGGAUGAAAGCGGGGGAUCGCAAGACCUCGCGCGAAUGGAGCGGCCGAUGUCAGAUUAGGUAGUUGGUGGGGUAAAGGCUCACCAAGCCAACGAUCUGUAGCUGGUCUGAGAGGACGACCAGCCACACGGGGGCUGGGACACGGCCCAGACUCCUACGGGAGGCAGCAGUGGGGAAUUUUGGACAAUGGGCGCAAGCCUGAUCCAGCCAUUCCGCGUGCAGGAUGAAGGCCUUCGGGUUGUAAACUGCUUUUGUACGGAACGAAAAGUCUUGGGUUAAUACCCUGGGAUCAUGACGGUACCGUAAGAAUAAGCACCGGCUAACUACGUGCCAGCCGCCGCAGUAAGAC